CUCGGGGGCUGCAGUGGGGAAUAUUGGACAAUGGGCGAAAGCCUGAUCCAGCCAUGCCGCGUGUGUGAAGAAGGCCUUCGGGUUGUAAAGCACUUUCAGUGGGGAAGAAAGCCUUGGGGCUAAUACCCUCGAGGAAGGACAUCACCCACAGAAGAAGCACCGGCUAACUCCGUGCCAGCAGCCGCGGUAAUACGGAGGGUGCGAGCGUUAAUCGGAAUUACUGGGCGUAAAGCGCGCGUAGGCGGUCUGAUAAGCCGGUUGUGAAAGCCCCGGGCUCAACCUGGGAACGGCAUCCGGAACUGUCAGGCUAGAGUGCAGGAGAGGAAGGUAGAAUUCCCGGUGUAGCGGUGAAAUGCGUAGAGAUCGGGAGGAAUACCAGUGGCGAAGGCGGCCUUCUGGACUGACACUGACGCUGAGGUGCGAAAGCGUGGGUAGCAAACAGGAUUAGAUACCCGGGUAGUC
rnacentral:rRNA from 1 species